rnacentral:rRNA from 1 species
CAAUAGCGUAUAUUAAAGUUGUUGCGGUUAAAAAGCUCGUAGUUGGAUUUCGGCGGACAGGGGGCGGUUCGAUAUUUGUCGCUACUGCCCCAUUUGUCCGUGUUUUUGGCGGAGGUUUCAGGGUGCUCUUCACCGAGUGUCCUGGGAUGCCGUCAGGUUUACUUUGAAAAAAUUAGAGUGCUCAAAGCAGGCCUUACACGCUUGAAUAUUCGUGCAUGGAAUAAUGGAAUAGGACGUCGUUUCUAUUUUGUUGGUUUUCGGAAAUCGACGUAAUGAUUAACAGGGACGGUCGGGGGCAUUAGUAUUCAGACGACAGAGGUGAAAUUCUUGGACCGUCUGAAGACUAACUACUGCGAAAGCAUUUGCCAAGAAUGUUUUCAUUAA